UCAUUGAUUGGUGGUUGCCAUGGCUGCAGGCAUUUAGCUUGGCAAUAUGGCGUUGUAGGGGCGGCGAAGGCCGCAGCCGCUUUUACUCUUCUAGGCUAUUCUGGGUUUCUGAGGCAGGCCGGUCCGGGUAUGGGCUCUCUGUCGCCGUUCAGCCUCCUGUGGGGACUCCUCCUGCUGCAGGGCGUCCUGAGGCCGCUGCGCGGGGACCCGGGUGUGUAUGGCGGGGGUAUGGCCUGCAUGGCCCAGGCUGAGGGAAUCUGGCUCUUAAAGGGCCAGACCUGGGGUUCCUAGGAUCGCCGAAGCCAGGCCACAUAAAAAGCCAGCACACGCACCCCAGGUACAGGUUCUGUACCCCUUAACCCCUCCCCGCACAUCCUUCCUUCCCUCAGUUUUCAUCCCACCUUUCAUCCGGAUGUCCAGCCCUGAGGUCCGAGCGACCCUGGUCGGAGGCAGCGAGGAUGUCGCCGUGUCUCUGACUCCGCUGCAGGUCGAGGAAGGAGUGUUGCCAGUUCCUACUUGUGGCGGCCUCCUCCGCAAUGAGACAGCGGAUUGGAAUGUGACUGUGAGCCCCCAAGAGAGCACGCUGGAAGUGACCAUAAGGUGGAAGAGGGGUCUAGACUGGUGCUCCACAGACGAGACAGCC
ensembl:processed_transcript